UUUUUUUUUUUUUUUUUUUUUUUUUUCUGACAAGCCGCGUA
rnacentral:ribozyme from 1 species